UGCUUCGAGUCUUCACGGACCACUUGUAAAUUAAAUUCCUGUUCUCAGUGGCGUCAUACAAAAGAAAUAGAGAACACCAUUUUGCUUUACCGGAUCGAUGACGUGUACGGCCCAGAUUCAAACUUCAUGCGUAUACUAGAUUCGCAUUACAUCGCUUCUCUUUAUAACUCCUAUCCUUGGUCGAUCUUCCAAUUUUUUUUCUUCCACUAAAUCAAGCUAAUUUUUUCUCGAAAGAAAAAUCCUUCGAUCGCGAUUAAAUAAAGUACCGGGUCACGAUCUGAAUCUCUGCAUCUCUGUAACGCGGAUCGGAGAUCAAAAUUGAAAAUUAGAAUACAAUUUUAUUAUAAUUUAUCGGGAUUAAUAUCAGAUCUCAGAGAAAAGAAAAGAAAGGGGAAGAAAACCCUAACUUAAUCUGGGCCAGUCAGUGUAGUUUGUUAUGUUUGUUUUGUAACCUACUGAGGAUCUUUUGGAAGUAAAAGUUUUCAAUUUUUUCAUUAUUUUGUUUCUUAUAUUUGUUAUAUUAUAUAUAUAUGCUUAUUGUGGGUGGUGGAUCUAAUUAUUUUGAGAGGACUAAUAACGUUGAAGAAGAAACCCUAGCUAUGGGUAAAGAAGAUGAGAAUUUAAAGGCGGAAGAUGUGGAGGAAGGUGAAAUUUCGGAUGCGGCGUCAGUGGAAGAGAUCAGUGAGGAAGAUUUUAAUAAACAGGAAGUUAAGGUUGUAAAAGAGUCCAAACCAAAAGAAAAUGAUGGUUCUAGUGGUAGGUUUUGGACGAUGAAAGAUCUGUAUAAGUAUCAGAUGGGGGGAGGAUACGUCUCCGGUUUGUAUAAUCUUGCUUGGGCACAAGCUGUACAGAAUAAACCUCUAAAUGACCUGUUUGUGGAGGUUGAACCUGAUGAGAAUUCCAAGCGAUCCUCACCAUCGUCUUCUGUAGCGUCUGUGAAUAGCAAUAGUAACAGCAAUAAAGAAGAGGAGAAGAAAAAAGUGGAAAAAGUAGUGAUUGAUGAUAGUGGCGAUGAGAUGGAUGUUAAGAUUGUGGAUUUUGAGAAGGAGGAAGGGGAAUUGGAGGAAGGUGAGAUUGAUUUGGAUUCAGACCCAGCUGAGAAAGCUAUUGAUGAAGGCAAAGAAAGGUUUUUGAAUAAUGAUGAAAUGGAUAUUGAUGUCUCAGAGACCAAGUCCAAAGACAAAGACUUGGAGAAGAAAGUGAAAUUCAUCCGUGAAGCUCUUGAGGCUUUAACUGUGACUGAGUCUAACAAAUCAUUUGAGACAGCUUGUUCAAUGCUGGGCAAUACGUUGAAGAGCUUGCGGGAAGUGAUUGGGAAAAAUAAUAUUCCCACAAAAGACAAUCUUUUGCAAUUGUCCUCUAAUGCUGUUCAAUCUGUUAAUUCGGUUUUUACCUCCAUGAACCAUAAAUUGAGGGAACAAAAUAAAGAUAGCUUUUCGAGCAGGUUUCUUUCUGUUGUAAAUAGCCACGUUCCCUCUCUUUUAUCCCCUGAGCUAAUCAAGGAGAUUGAGGUCAUGACUUCCUCUCUAAGUUCAAUAUCUGGUGAAAAAGAGAAAGAGUCACUGAUAUUCAGUGACGAGGGGAAUAAAAAAGAUGAUAUGUCAGCUAAAAGUUCAGGUCAUAGUUUGACUACUGCGAAAAAGCUUUCUUCAUUUGCUGGUUCUUUUGCUAGUAAUAAACCAAACAUGUCAUUAGAAGCUCCAAAAAUGGGAGUAUCUACUUUUAAGAGUAGGGCAGGUUUGCUACCUUUGUUAGACCUCCACAAAGAUCACGAUGCUGACAGCCUUCCAUCGCCUACACGGGAAGCAGCACCUCCUUUACCUGUACGUAGAGUAUCAACACCUAAGGUGGCUCUUGACAAUGAAGAUACUAAAAUGCAUCCAUAUGAGACGGAUGCACUUAAAGCUGUUUCUAGCUACCAGCAAAAAUUUAAUCGCAGUUCAUUUGCUGUGAAUGAUAGGCUUCCUAGUCCAACUCCUUCAGAAGAAUCUGGUAAUGGGGAUGGUGAUGUAGGUGGGGAAGUUUCCAGUUCAUCAGCUGUUGGUCAAUUUAGACCUGCCAAUCCACCCAAUUCAGGGCAAUCAAUUGUUUCUACUUCUCCUCACCCUGAGAGUUCUAAUAUGCAGGGGGUUGUACCUGCUAAAAAUGCUGGACCAGUGAGUUCUGGUUCUAGUUUAACUGUGAAAGCCUCUGCAAAGAGCAGGGACCCUAGGCUUCGAUUUGUUAAUUCUGAUGCCAAUGCUUUGGACCAGAACCAUGUCUUGCCUCUGGUGAACAAUACACCUAAAGUGGAAUAUCUUGGAGGACCAAUGAACUUGAAAAAGCAGAAGUCUGUUGAUGAUUCAGUCCUGGAUGGCCCUUCAUUAAAGAGGCAAAGGAAUGUGUUGGAACAUUCUGGAGGUGUCGGGAAUGUUAAAACCAUGAUUGCAAGUGGCGGUUGGUUGGAGGACACUGAUAUGGUCAGACCUCAAACUAUGAACAGGAAUCAAUUGGUAGAGAAUUCUGAUCCCAGGAGAAUGGACAAUGGAGUGGCUUGUCCUAGUACUGUUAGUGGUAUAUCCAGUGUGAGUAUUAGUGGAAAUGAGCAGAAACCAGUAAUAGGAACUGGUGCUAUUACUGAAGGUGAACAGAUACAAAUGACAGGUACUAGUGAGGCCUCCCUGCCUGAUUUAUUGAAAAAUAUUGCAGUGAAUCCAACAAUGUUGCUCAAUUUACUCAAAAUGGGGCAACAACAGAGAUCAGCAAUAGAUGCUCAGCAGAAGCCUUCUGACCCUGCUAAAACUUCAAAACAUCCACUAAAUGCAAAUGCAAUACUGGGAUCUGUUCCUGUGGUGAAUGUUGUUCCUCCACAGCCCUCCGUAAUGCCAAGACCAGCAGGAACACUUCAGGUUCCUCCUCAGGCUGCUGUGGAGGAACUGGGAAAAAUUCGCAUGAAACCACGGGAUCCUCGUCGUGUUUUACAUUAUCAGACACUUCAAAAGAAUGGAAACAUGGGCUAUGAACAGUUCAAAACUAAUCUUACCUCUCCACCAACAGAUCAGGGGACCAAGGACAAUCAAAUUGUGCAAAAACAAGACGGUCAAGCAGAAACUGAGCCAGUGCCUUUGCAAUCUCUUGUGGUGCCAGAUAUUUCGUUGCCAUUUACAAAGAGUUUGAAAAAUAUUGCUGACAUUGUGUCUGUUUCCCAUGCAUCAACAAGUCCAACUGUUGUUUCUCAGAAUCUUGCCUCUCAACCUACACGAACUAUAGUUUCAAAUUCUGAGCAGCCAGCUGGGAUUGGUUCUGCACCUUGUGUAGCACCUGUAGGUCCUCGUCCACAGGAUGCUUGGGGAGAUGUUGAGCAUCUCUUUGAAGGGUAUAGUGACCAGCAAAAAGCUGCUAUACAGAGAGAGAGGGCACGGAGGAUAGAAGAACAAAAGAAAAUGUUUGCUGCACGCAAGCUCUGCCUUGUGUUGGAUCUAGAUCAUACGCUUCUAAAUUCUGCCAAGUUUGUUGAAGUUGAUCCUGUGCAUGAUGAGAUCUUACGGAAGAAGGAAGAACAAGAUCGUGAAAAACCCUAUAGACAUUUAUUUCGCUUUCCGCAUAUGGGAAUGUGGACAAAGUUGCGCCCUGGGAUAUGGAAUUUCUUGGAAAAGGCUAGUAAAUUGUAUGAGCUGCAUCUUUAUACAAUGGGGAACAAGUUGUAUGCCACAGAGAUGGCAAAAGUGCUAGAUCCAACUGGGGUUUUGUUUAAUGGACGAGUUAUUUCCAGAGGUGACGAUACAGAUUCCUUUGACAGUGAUGAGAGGGUUCCCAAAAGUAAGGAUCUCGAGGGGGUCUUGGGUAUGGAAUCAGCUGUUGUUAUUAUCGAUGAUUCUGUAAGGGUCUGGCCUCACAACAAAUUGAACCUGAUUGUUGUGGAAAGGUAUAUAUAUAUUUUCCAUGUAGUAGACGCCAGUUUGGGCUUCCAGGUCCUUCUCUCCUUGAGAUUGACCAUGAUGAGAGGCCAGAAGAUGGGACUUUAGCAUGUUCUUUGGCGGUUAUAGAGAAAAUACAUCAGCACUUUUUCACCCAUCCCUCCUUAGACGAUGCAGAUGUUAGAAAUAUCCUUGCAUCAGAGCAGAGGAAGAUUUUAGCUGGCUGCCGUAUAGUAUUUAGCAGGGUGUUUCCAGUCGGGGAAGCCAAUCCACAUCUACAUCCACUAUGGCAGACAGCUGAACAGUUUGGUGCUGUCUGCACAAACCAGAUAGACGAACAGGUCACUCAUGUAGUUGCCAAUUCGCUUGGAACAGAUAAGGUGAAUUGGGCUCUAUCCACUGGAAGAUUUGUUGUAUAUCCUGGGUGGGUGGAAGCAUCUGCUUUGCUUUAUCGGAGGGCAAAUGAGCAAGAUUUUGCAAUUAAACCAUAACAAUGAUCAUUCUAACCCACUUCUGGUAAAACAUAAGACCUGAUAAGCAUAAUCUGAAGUUGGAGAUGAGUUGAGUUCUGAUGGGUGGCUUGGGGGUAGACCAGAGAGCAGAAUCUGGUGACCAGAAUUUAUACCAUUUCAGUCAUUCUAAGCACCCUUUAUAACUGACGAGUAAACCUGCAAUAGAAUUGAAUCUUUGACAUGCCAGUAUUUUGAAAAUAGGUUGUGGAUUUGCAGGGUCCUGAAAUCGAAAUUUUGAAUUCUUGAUGGGCUGUGAUAGGGAGAUGGAAACUGAUUGGUGUAUAGUGAGGUGUGGCGGCAGUAUAAGCAGAAGUUUACCAAAGUUGAAGCGCUGUGGCUAACAAUUAAACAUGGAUGAUUGCCAAGUGUAAGUUUGGAAGAACCAAAUGUGUGAAAUAAACAAUGAAAACAGCUGAAAAAAGUGAAGUCAGAUUUGAUAUUGAUCUCACAAAAGGUUGUGAGAAAGGAGGUGAAAUUGGAAAGUCAAAAAAUGGUUGCUGAUAACCCACAGUAGUAAAAAUGAGUGCGAUUUAUUGAAGAUGAAUUUUUUUUUCUUUUAAAGUAAAAAAAAAAAAGCAUUGAAGUAAUCAAGGUGGAACAUUUUCAAUUGGCGGUUAUUGUCAAUGCCGUCGUAGGUGGUGAUACCUAAAUUUUUUGCCUUUCUGGAUUCCGUUUAACAUCAGUACCGCUGACGUGGCCUAUCUGUCGGAAGGAGCUAGUCAACCUUAUCUUUUUUUUUUUUCCUUUUUUUUCUUUUUUCUUCUAAAUGAGAAAUUGAGGGGAAAAAAAAAUUAGAAAAACACUAAAUAUUGUUUUGUUGGAAGUAGCUACAGAUGGUGGGGUGGUGAUAUAAUUUAAGAAAAACUUAGCAAAAAGCGGAAAGAAAGGGAUAUUACUGGAUUAUAGAAAUAAUACCGAAAUUGACAAAUUUUGAAAUGAAAGAAUCCAUGUUUCGCAAAUUAAUAAACCUGUUUGAAUAAACAGAUUGUUCAAGAGCACCAGGGGAUUUUGGCCAACGACAAUGGAGUUAUGUCACGUGCUUCUUCUUCUUCUAUCUGCCUCUGAUAUUUGUCUGGAAUUUUUACGGGUUUUUGCAUCCAUUUCCGGUAAUUACACCAACAUGGGACUCCCUUUCCUUUUAUCAUAAGCCUUUGAUAGUCGUUGACAUCGAAUUAAGGAAUAUCAGAAUGAAACGUGAAGAUAAAGCAAACAUCAGAAUGAAACGGUUGAAUUUAGGAUGUGUAAAUAUAUAAUUUUUGUUGGUGGAAGUUUCAGUGUAAUUAAUACUAAAGACUAUCCUUAGUUUUAAUCAUCCUGAAAAGGGGAUUUAACUAAUAAAAAAUUAUUAUAUUAAGUGA